GACGAACGCUGGCGGCGUGCUUAACCCAUGCAAGUCGAACGCUGAAGCCCUUCGGGGUGGAUGAGUGGCGAACGGGUGAGUAACACGUGGGUAAUCUGCCCUGCACUCUGGGAUAAGCCUUGGAAACGGGGUCUAAUACCGGAUAGGACACAUCGCCGCAUGGUGUGUGUGUGGAAAGUUCCGGCGGUGCAGGUUGAGCCCGCGGCCUAUCAGCUUGUUGGUGGGGUGAUGGCCUACCAAGGCGACGACGGGUAGCCGGCCUGAGAGGGUGACCGGCCACACUGGGACUGAGACACGGCCCAGACUCCUACGGGAGGCAGCAGUGGGGAAUCUUGCGCAAUGGGCGAAAGCCUGACGCAGCAACGCCGCGUGGGGGAUGACGGCCUUCGGGUUGUAAACCUCUUUCGACCGGGACGAAGGAUUCGUUUGACGGUACCGGUAGAAGAAGCACCGGCUAACUACGUGCCAGCCGCCGCCGUAA
rnacentral:rRNA from 1 species